AAUCAUUUUCAUUUUCAACUUCAUCCGAUCAGGAAUAAAACAAAUAAAGAAAUAGAGAUGUUGAUGAAAGCAAUAUACCUUGUUGCUAUUUUCUGUAUUUUACUUCAAUACACGGUAGCCGACAGAAAACGAUGUUUCUGCAAAGCUGUAGCAGCCGACAAUCACAAUAAUGUCUUGCACGAUUUUGGAACUUUCGCCGAACAUCGUAACUGGUUAUCUGUUGGUUGCAGACGACUUCAUGGCUGUUCCAGUAAAUGUGACCAGAAAGUUAAAGAAUGGGUAUGAGCACAUCAAUCUGAGUGCAAAGCUAAAGCUAAAGGAAAGCACAUGGUGCCUUAUUACCAAGCAAGUGUAUGUGACAAAGGUGCGGGUAAUAAUUCAAGACCUUGUGAAUGUAAUGACGGAGGUUUUGACAAAGCUAGAAGAUGUCAGUUGCAAUGUAUCUCAAAAUUGUUUAACCAGGGACAUACUGCAUUUUUAACAUGCUUUAAUCAAUGCAUUGCAUAAUCACUUUGUUUCAGUUGUCUUUGAUCCAGAUAUUAUUUC